rfam:Streptomyces sp. NRRL F-6491 P443contig26.1, whole genome shotgun sequence.
GGACAGUCAUCGCCGAGUCCCCGUCGGGCGCGAGCCUGGGGAGCCGGGGACCCACACAGUCCCUGGGGUGAAUCGGACGCCUUCGUCUCGUGCGGAGGGGCCCGUAGGAGACCUUCCUGCUCCGAACCCGUCAGCUAACCCGGUAGGCGAGAAGGAAGGAAAGG